rnacentral:tRNA from 1 species
GACAGCUUGGCCGAGUGGUUAAGGCGAUAGACUAGAAAUCUAUUGGGGUAACCCGCGUGAGUUCAAACCUCACAGCUGUCG